rnacentral:tRNA from 1 species
GCCGGAGUGGCGGAAUUGGUAGACGCAGGGGACUCAAAAUCCCCCGACCUUCCCGGUCGUGCGGGUUCGAGUCCCGCCUCCGGCACCA